GACGAACGCUGGCGGCGUGCCUAAUACAUGCAAGUAGAACGCUGAAGAGAGGAGCUUGCUCUUCUUGGAUGAGUUGCGAACGGGUGAGUAACGCGUAGGUAACCUGCCUUGUAGCGGGGGAUAACUAUUGGAAACGAUAGCUAAUACCGCAUAACAAUGGAUGACACAUGUCAUUUAUUUGAAAGGGGCAAUUGCUCCACUACAAGAUGGACCUGCGUUGUAUUAGCUAGUAGGUGAGGUAACGGCUCACCUAGGCGACGAUACAUAGCCGACCUGAGAGGGUGAUCGGCCACACUGGGACUGAGACACGGCCCAGACUCCUACGGGAGGCAGCAGUAGGGAAUCUUCGGCAAUGGGGGCAACCCUGACCGAGCAACGCCGCGUGAGUGAAGAAGGUUUUCGGAUCGUAAAACUCUGUUGUAAGUCAAGAACGAGUGUGAGAGUGGAAAGUUUACACUGUGACGGUAGCUUACCAGAAAGGGACGGCUAACUACGUG
rnacentral:rRNA from 1 species